GUUACAAAUGUAUAUUGUAUAAACAGUGCCGUGGGAAAUAAGAUCUGCCUUUGUAUGUAAGUUGAAGAGUAAACAUGGACUUGAGGGCAAGCAAUGAACAAGUCUUAGAGAUUGGAUAACACGACAUAAUCUACACUAUGGCGAUAGAGUAAAAUGUUUCCCGCUAUGAGCAGUUUUGGCAGCACAGAAUUUCAACAUAAUCUGUUUGAUAAAUAUAUUUCCUGCAAUCACUUUAACGACAGAAAUAUAUCAGAAAGUUACAGAGACUAUCAAUUUCACCCGACUAUAAACAAUGAUAUUAGACCGGGCAAUAAUUCAUAUGUCCGCAAGUUGAACAGUGAAUAUAAAUAUCGUGAACAGACAAUCAAAAACCCGUCUGACAAUGGUACUAAUGAAUCAUUGGAUUAUGAUCCAGAUAUAAAUCAAAGAUGUAGUAAUCAGGACUUGGACAGAACUUCAUAUCAUACCAUGGGGCAAAAGUACGCUGUUCGCGGGAUAGAAGACUCAACUAUUCAAAGCACUCUCGUAAAGACAGAUAACAUACGAGGAGACCCGAAUAGCGACGAGAGCGAUGAUGGAGAUGGUAUGACAUGUCGUAUGUACCCUUGGAUGAGAACAAAUGGUGGAUUAAACAGUAAAAGGGGAAGACAAACCUAUACCAGAUACCAAACUCUUGAAUUGGAAAAGGAAUUCCAUUAUAACAAAUACUUGACCAGACGACGACGCAUAGAAAUAGCACAUGAAUUGUGUUUAUCUGAAAG